GUCUAUGGCUAUGCUACCCUGAACAAGCCCAAUCCCGUCUGAUUUCAGAAGCUCAGCAGGGUCGGGCCUGGUUAGUACUUGGAUGGGAGACCACCGAGGAAGACCAGGUGCUGUAGGCG
rnacentral:rRNA from 1 species